AAUAUGUUCCUGAGCCUUGUACACACCGCCCGUCAAGACCACGAAAGCUGGGGUACCUGAAGUCGUGAUAAACGCCCAUGGUAAAACCAGUGAUUGGGACU
rnacentral:rRNA from 1 species